UACGAAGGGGGCUAGCGUUGUUCGGAAUUACUGGGCGUGAAGCGCGCGUAGGCGGUGAACUUUGUCAGAGGUGAAAUCCCGAGGCUCAACUUCGGAAUUGCCUUUGAAACGGGUUCGCUUGAGUCCGAGAGAGGAUGGCGGAAUUCCUAGUGUAGAGGUGAAAUUCGUAGAUAUUAGGAAGAACACCGGUGGCGAAGGCGGCCAUCUGGCUCGGUACUGACGCUCAGGCGCGAAAGCGUGGGGAGCAAACAGG
rnacentral:rRNA from 1 species